ACUAUAUGAAUGUCGAGAUGGCUUGGUUUUAUAUUCAUGAUGAUGCAAUUCAUAUUUUGGUGAAACCAUUUCGUUGCACAAACGAUUCGAUAUACAAAUAUAUAAAAUGCAAUCCGUUGCGAAAAACAUCUUCCAGUUGUGAAAAGAAAUACAUCCACCUGUUGCAAAAACAAAUAAUUGCAGCAACCCCAGUUCGUUGCAACAUCUUUUAUUGCAUCUAUAUACUUUCAAUUGCACAACAACUUAUUGCCACGGAAGAUAAAAGUUGCAAUAAUACAUAAUAACC
rnacentral:lncRNA from 1 species